rnacentral:rRNA from 1 species
CCUACGGGAGGCAGCAGUGAGGAAUAUUGGUCAAUGGGCGCGAGCCUGAACCAGCCAAGUAGCGUGAAGGAUGACUGCCCUACGGGUUGUAAACUUCUUUUAUAAAGGAAUAAAGUGAGGCACGUGUGCCUUUUUGUAUGUACUUUAUGAAUAAGGAUCGGCUAACUCCGUGCCAGCAGCCGCGGUAAUACGGAGGAUCCGAGCGUUAUCCGGAUUUAUUGGGUUUAAAGGGAGCGUAGAUGGGUUGUUAAGUCUGGUGUUAAAUGCAGAAGCUCAACUUCUGUUCGGCACUGGAUACUGGUAAGCUUGAAUGCGGUAGAGGUAAAGGGAAUUCCUGGUGUAGCGGUGAAAUGCGUAGAUAUCAGGAGGAACAUCGGUGGCGUAAGCGCUUUACUGGGCCGUAAUUGACACUGAGGAACGAAAGCCGGGGUAGCAAAUGGGAUUAGAUACCCCUGUAGUC